GGCUUUUUGAUAAUAAUUUAAGGUUUGACCUGCCCUAUGAUUUAAAUAUUAAAUGGCCGCGGUACUUUGACCGUGCAAAGGUAGCAUAAUCAUUAGUUUUUUAAUUGAAAGCUUGUAUGAAAGGUUUGAUGAAAAAAAAACUGUCUUUAUUUAAAUUUUAUAGAAAUUUAUUUUUAAGUUAAAAAGCUUAAAUAUAUAUUAAAGACGAGAAGACCCUAUAGAGUUUUAUAUUUUUGUAAAAUUAUUAUAUUUUAGAAUUUUUUUAAUGAUUUUAUAAAUUUUAUUUAGUUGGGGUGAUUUAAAAAUUGAAUAAACUUUUUUAUUUGUACUUACAUUGAUAUAUGAAAUUUUGAUCCUUAUUAAAGAUUAAUAGAUAAAAUUACCUUAGGGAUAACAGCGUAAUUUUUUUUAGAGUUCUUAUCAAAAAAAAAGGUUGCGACCUCGAUGUUGGAUUAAAAUUAAUUAUUGGUGUAGAAGCUAAUAGAUUAGGUCUGUUCGACCUUUAAAAUUUUACAUGAUCUGAGUUUAAACCGGUGUAAG
rnacentral:rRNA from 1 species